rnacentral:rRNA from 1 species
GACGAACGCUGGCGGCGUGCUUAACACAUGCAAGUCGAACGGAAAGGCCCUGCUGUUGUGGGGUGCUCGAGUGGCGAACGGGUGAGUAACACGUGAGUAACCUGCCCUUGACUUUGUGAUAACUGCAGGAAACUGGGGCUAAUACCGGAUAGGAGCUCCUGCUGCUUGGUGUGGGUUGGAAAGUUUCGGCGGUUGGGGAUGGACUCGCGGCUUAUCAGCUUGUUGGUGGGGUAGUGGCUUACCAAGGCUUUGGCGGGUAGCCGGCCUGAGAGGGUGACCGGCCACAUUGGGACUGGGAUGCGGCCCAGACUCCUACGGGGGGCAGCAGUGGGGGAUAUUGCGCAAUGGGCGGAAGCCUGAUGCAGCAACGCCGCGUGCGGGAUGACGGCCUUCGGGUUGUAAACCGCUUUCGCCUGUGACGAAGCGUGAGUGACGGUAAUGGGUAAAGAAGCACCGGCUAACUACGUG